rnacentral:lncRNA from 1 species
GGGGGGGGUUGUUACUAUAUCAAAUUUACCCAGUUUGGAGACAAUAAAUAUUUAAAAUCUAACCAUAAACUCCAAUGUUCCUGCUUUUUUUAGCAGAACAAACACGAUGGCAUUCUCGUCUCUGUUAUAAUCAAUAGUUAACUCAUUUCUUCUUCCAGGUUAUUUCUUAAUCAAUUAUGAUUAUCAGCUGUCUAUCUAUUUACCAUGUUUAUGUUAAACUGGUCCGUAAUUCCAUCGUAGUGUAUCGAUAAGUGAACACAACAGGGAUCCAGUUUAUUAAACGUCUGUAAACCGAGGUAUAUAAUAUACAAG